rnacentral:tRNA from 1 species
GAUUGAUCUGGAAAGGGCUGAUAUUGCCUUCACACGGCAAGGGUCGCAGGUUCGAACCCUGCACCGCCCACCA